rnacentral:rRNA from 1 species
AUUGAACGCUGGCGGCAGGCCUAACACAUGCAAGUCGAGCGAGCGGCGGACGGGUGAGUAAUGUCUGGGAAACUGCCUGAUGGAGGGGGAUAACUACUGGAAACGGUAGCUAAUACCGCAUACCAUCAGAUGUGCCCAGAUGGGAUUAGCUAGUAGGGGGGGUAACGGCUCACGUAGGCGACGAUCCCUAGCUGGUCUGAGAGGAUGAUCAGACACACUGGAACUGAGACACGGUCUAGACUCCGACGGGCGGCAGCAGGGGGGAAUAUUGGACAAUGGGCGCAAGCCUGAUGCAGCCAUGCCGCGUGUGUGAAGAAGGCCUGCGGGUUGUAAAGCACUUUCAGCGGGGAGGCGUUACCCGCAGAAGAAGCACCGGCUAACUCCGUGCCAGCCGCCGCGGUAAUUC